rnacentral:rRNA from 1 species
UACGUAGGGAGCGAGCGUUAUCCGGAUUUAUUGGGCGUAAAGCAUGUGUAGGCGGUUUAUUAAGUCUAAGAUUAAAGCCUGAGGCUCAACCUCAGUUCGUUUUAGAAACUGAUAGACUUGAGUAUGGUAGAGGCAAGUGGAAUUUCUAGUGUAGCGGUUAAAUGCGUAGAUAUUAGAAGGAACACCAGUGGCGAAGGCGGCUUGCUGGGCCAUUACUGACGCUGAGGCACGAAAGCGUGGGGAGCAAAUAGG